rnacentral:rRNA from 1 species
CCUUCGGGUUGUAAAGCACUUUCAGUAGGGAGGAAGGUAGUGUAGUUAACACCUUGCAUUAUUUGUACGUUACCUACAGAAGAAGCACCGGCUAACUCCGUGCCAGCAGCCGCGGUAAUACGGAGGGUGCGAGCGUUAAUCGGAAUUACUGGGCGUAAAGCGCAUGCAGGCGGCCUGUUAAGUCAGAUGUGAAAGCCCGGGGCGUAACCUCGGAAUUGCAUUUGUAAACUGGCAGGCUAGAGUCUUGUAGAGGGGGUAGAAUUUCAGGUGUAGCGGUGAAAUAGCGUAGAGAUCUGAAGGAAUACCAGUGGCGAAGGCGGCCCCCUGGACAGAUACUGACACUCAGAUGCGAAAGCGUGGGGAGCAAACAGGAUUAGAUACCCUGGUAG